ensembl:snRNA U6 U6 spliceosomal RNA
GUGCUCACUUUGGCAGCACAUAUACUAAAAUUGGAACAAUAGAGAUUAGCAUGGCCUCUGCUCAAAGAUGACACACAAAAUCAUGAAGUGUUCCAUAUUUCU